UACGAAGGGGGCUAGCGUUGCUCGGAAUCACUGGGCGUAAAGGGUGCGUAGGCGGGUUUUUUAAGCAGAGGUGAAAUCCUGGAGCUCAACUCCAGAACUGCCUUUGAUACUGAAAGUCUUGAGUAUGGGAGAGGUGAGUGGAACUGCGAGUGUAGAGGUGAAAUUCGUAGAUAUUCGCAAGAACACCAGUGGCGAAGGCGGCUCACUGGCCCAUAACUGACGCUGAGGCACGAAAGCGUGGGGAGCAAACAGG
rnacentral:rRNA from 1 species